GACGAACGCUGGCGGCGUGCUUAACACAUGCAAGUCGAACGGAAAGGCCCUGCUUUUGUGGGGUGCUCGAGUGGCGAACGGGUGAGUAACACGUGAGUAACCUGCCCUUGACUUUGGGAUAACUUCAGGAAACUGGGGCUAAUACCGGAUAGGAGCUCCUGCUGCAUGGUGGGGGUUGGAAAGUUUCGGCGGUUGGGGAUGGACUCGCGGCUUAUCAGCUUGUUGGUGGGGUAGUGGCUUACCAAGGCUUUGACGGGUAGCCGGCCUGAGAGGGUGACCGGCCACAUUGGGACUGAGAUACGGCCCAGACUCCUACGGGAGGCAGCAGUGGGGAAUAUUGCACGAUGGGCGGAAGCCUGAUGCAGCAACGCCGCGUGCGGGAUGACGGCCUUAGGGUUGUAAACCGCUUUCGCCUGUGACGAAGCGUGAGUGACGGUAAUGGGUAAAGAAGCACCGGCUAACUACGUG
rnacentral:rRNA from 1 species